rnacentral:ribozyme from 1 species
UUGCCGUUUUUUUUUUUUUUUUUUUUUUGGUUUUGGUUUUAUUAGCGCAAAGGCGCAUGUAUAGCUCCUGGUAUGUAGCUUUUGAGAUGGACUUAAAAAGAAAGGACAAAGAUCUGCAAU